CUUGCUGAUACCUGAUAAAGGUUUGUAGGUUGAGUGAACGAAUAAAUGAUGAAGUAGAACUUGGAAUUGUUUAGAGGCAGAAUACAGGUUGUGAUGCAUUUGUUUCGUUUGCUGCAGAUUUGAUGCUGCCCGGACUCGUGGUGCCCCCUGCUGGUCUGCCUCAGGUACAGAAGGGUGACCUCUGUGCCAUUGCCUUGCUGGGGAACAGAGUGGCUGCACCAGUUCGCAUUCUCACCAACAUUGCCAGAGGAUUUCCCUCUCUCCACAUCUUCACCAAUACCUGUUGUUUUCUGUGUUGUUUAUGUUAGCCAUUCCGACAGGUGUGCGGUGAUACGUCAUUGUAGUUUUGAGUUGUACUUCCCUGAUGUUGAGAGAUGUCGAGCAUCUUUUUAUGUGUCUGUUAGCCAUCUGGAUGUGUUCUCCGGAAAAAGGUGUAUUCAUGUCUUCUGCCCGUUUCUUAACUGGAUUAUUUGUUGAUUUUGGGUGUUAAGUUUAUAUCUUGUUGUUGGGUGUUGACUUCCUAUAUGUUUUAAAUAUUAAUCUUAUGAAAUUUUAAAAGAUUGGAAUUAUUGAGAGUACAUCUCAGACCAAACAAAGUUAAGCAAGAAAUCAGUUUAAAAGAUAAUUAGAAGAACCCCAAGUUACCAGAAGUCGACACUUUAGAAGACAAUCUUUUAAAAAAUUAAAGCAGGACUUCUAGCUUCUGUGGUGUGAUGAGCUUGGUGAACUCACUGAGCUUACUGAGGACAUUAAGAAAUAGACUCACACAUUUCCAGUUGCCUGAUUUAAGACAAAAGUCAGAGUGAAGCAGUGUAGUAGGAAAGCGGUGAUAUUUUCAGUAAAUAUUGCCCGAACAGUUGGAUAGCUAUAUUUUAAAAGUACGUCUGUCGCUCUUAGUACCAGAUACCAUACACAAAAGUCAAAUGAGUUGUAAAUGUGAAAGAGAAAACAAUGCUUUUAGGGGAAAACAUUAUUGCAUCCUAGGACUAGGCAAGGAUGUCUUAAAUACGACACGAAAGGUACUAAUCCAAAUGGGAAACAAUUUUAAAUUUAAUUCAAUUUUAAAAUUAAGAAAACCUC